CGCUUUCUUACCCCUCCCAACUCCGUCUGCAAAACAACACUCACACUUUGAUUAAAGCACAAUCAAGAAGAAAGGAGUGAGAAGUAGAAUCUGAGACAAAGCUACAGCAUGGGUGUCAUGCAGAUCAGGGUGGAAUACUGUGGCCAAUGAGGGUAUGAGCCCCGCUACAAGAAGCUUCAGCAGGCUAUCGCUGCUGAGUUUCCUGAAGUGGAGGUGUCAGGUUUUGUAGGGAGAAAAGGCAGUUUUGAGUUGGAGAUUAACAGCAGGCUGGUGUUCUCCAAACUGGAAACAGGUGGCUUCCCCUUUGAAAAAGAUGUCAGGGACGCUAUCCAGAACACCUAUGAUGGCAAGCAAGUGGAGAAGUGGACCAAAUCCCGCCCUCCAUGUGUCGUUCUUUAGAUCAGACCUACGCUGCUGUCUGUCACCACUUACACAUCAGACUCAUGUAUCUGGAGAUCUGCCGUCAGGCUAGGUGUCUUCUCUCUCUGCCUGCUCCCAUUGCAGUGCUCCAGGACUUCUAUGAUUACUGUAGCUUAAAACUGAGAUGUUACGGCAUGAUGGCCCCAGUCCUGGUAGCUCCUGUGUUAUGGGACCAGACAAAGGAAGACAACGGCGAGACUGGUGGUGGGUGGGACUUCCAAAUCUUCCUUGCUUAUUUGUUUAAAGCAUUGUCAUCUGCCAGACGAAAAACAUGUAUAUUGGAGCUGCUGAAGCUGGUUUCUGGUUGUCUUAUUCUGCACUUGAUCAGACUGUGUUGACCUACAGUACUGUAACUGAUCCUUUGAAAAACUUUUUUUAAAGUAUAAAAUACAAACGUUUUCAAAUGUAUGUUCACUAGAACUGGUCAGAUGAGAUGAUUCUUUUGUUCUAGUAAUGAAGGCCACUUCCCACUGUCCAGUCUGCUAUAAUAACAAGACAUAAUCCAAGGUUUAAUUAUAACUGCUGAGUACUGUUAAUAAUUACCUAAUAUGUCUUCCUUUCUGACCCACCUGUUAGCCAGGGCAUGCAACCAUAGAAAUGUAUAGAGGUAUAAACUUGGAUGUUACAAGUUUUAGCAUAGACAUUGCCUUUGACAGUUUCCACCAUUUUAAAGUCACGUAAUUGGGUUUCACAUUUUUCUUUUUCUUUUUUAUAUUUUCUGAUUAAAAAUGUUCUAUACAAAGUCUAGCCAUCAAUCCCAAACAAACCCAUUUCCCAAACUUGCUCCGAUGGCCCUUUGUUGUCACGUUGCAGACAACUCUGAGGCAUAGACAGUGACCAGGGGCUAAACAAAGCCAUCAGCUUUUGUACCCACUUAUAAUGAUGCAAUUGAUUUUGCAUUUUUAAACAGUAGAAUCAUCUUAAAAUUAAACAAAUGUACAUAUUUUAUAAUCAGGCAAUGCCUAUCCAUUAUUGUGUUUAUAAUUGCUCAAAGAAAAAAUUUAAUGGUGCCUCCUAAUGAGCUGUAAUAUUUUAAAUGACUGUACUAGGUUGUUUGGCUUCACGAGGGUGUAAUCCAGAGAGAUAAUAACUUGGUGCUUCUAAGCUGGUACCGUUGCAGCCCCUCUACAAGUGGCCUCUAAGGAUCAAAGAAGAUCUAAUAAUUUGUUCACACUUACAACCUUAAUUCUUAAAUAAGUUUUGUCAAAUACAAGCGAAAAGUUAACAAAUAAGAUUUGCAUGUGUUCAGACAGCCAUAAUUUCUGGAUAUUGCUCUCUUAGUUAUCAUACCAACAAUUGGUGUGUGUGCAGUGGUGUAGGUUAAUUGUUGUUAGGACUUAUUUUGAAUGUUACAAUGACAACAACAGUGCUUGCCAUUAUAGUUUCAAAUGAUAAUCUAGCUGCACUUUCCAGCCCACAUAGGUUAAGAUGAUAAACAUUUCAAAAUUAAACUUCAAACUAGAACAGUAAAGAGGCUAGUUACCUGUUUUAAUUGCUAACUAACAAAUUUGUUUGUAAAGAAUAAAAAAUGUAGUAAACUUUGCAAACUGUGAACAGAGUAGUUAGUUAGCAAGAAGACAUGGCAUAUAACCAUAUA